AAAAACAAAAGGAAACUCUCGGUUCAUGCUCCUUUCGACGAGUAAUUUUUUUCCUUUUUCUUUCUAUUUGUUUUUGGUUAGAUUCAGAUCAUCGUUGCCUUCAUCUUCUCAACAACACUAUUCCUCCAUCUUCUUCUUUGAUCUUAAUUGUAGUUUUUCCCUUUAUUCUCUUCUUUAAUCUCAAUCCCCUCUUUUUUUCAUUUUGUUGCAGAACAAAACAUAAUUAAUCCCAUCUUGCUCGUGCACCCAAAUCUCUCUUGCUUUCACUUCUCGUUCAUUAUCGAGCUCUAUCUGUUUACAACCCUUCUUUCUAUGAGAAGGAUACGUGUACGGGGUUAUUGAGUUGAAAUUAGAAAACAAAGAGAAGGGUGGGAAUCCAAGGAG